GGGGAUGUGGCUCAGUGGCAGAGCACCUGCUUAGCAUGUGCAAGGCCCUGGGUUCCCUCCCCAGCACCCCA
rnacentral:tRNA from 1 species